UACGUAGGUGGCAAGCGUUGUCCGGAAUUAUUGGGCGUAAAGCGCGCGCAGGCGGUCCCGUAAGUCUGAUGUGAAAGCCCACGGCUCAACCGUGGAGGGUCAUUGGAAACUGGGGGACUUGAGUGCAGAAGAGGAAAGUGGAAUUCCAUGUGUAGCGGUGAAAUGCGUAGAGAUGUGGAGGAACACCAGUGGCGAAGGCGACUUUCUGGUCUGUAACUGACGCUGAGGCGCGAAAGCGUGGGGAGCAAACAGG
rnacentral:rRNA from 1 species